rnacentral:sRNA from 1 species
UACAUUUUCAUUUUUAUUUUGUACACCCUCAAUUAAUCAUUUUGUCACACAUACACACACACACACACACCUAGUCAGAUUGAACACAAAGCCAAUUAGUUAUUACGCAUAAAUUUUUUUUUUAAUUUUUUAUUUUUUCUAAAUAUUUAUUUAAAAUUCGAAUUUGAAAAAGGCACUAAAGUCACUUAGAAAGAGUUGUUCAAGUUUUAUCGAAUAUAUCUCGCGGUACAGUCGCAAAUCAAGUGUUUAUUGUCAGUAUAAAGAAAAGCACACGUUGCAGUUAACUGCAAGUUUUACAGUGGUGGCCAUCGCAAAGGGUAAAAAAAUAAGAACUUUUCUAGAACUAAGCUUUAGAAAUCGGUUUGAGCGCGCGUUGAACAGUGUGUCCAAGCCGAUUUUCGAAGCGAACAAAUUCCAAAUCAAACAAAAAAAAAACGUGUGUACGCAUCUGAGUUUUCAACGAUUAAAAAGCGAAAAGACAAAUGAUAAAU